CCCUAUUAUAAUUAAUAUAUUUUUAAUUUUGAGUAGUAUAUGUUUUGUUCAGGAAACUUAAAGAAUUUGGCAGUGUAUAUUCUAAUUAGAGGAAUAUGUUUUUUAAUUGAUAAUCCACAAUUAUCUUACUUAAAUUUAUUUAUUUUGUAUAUCUCCGUCUUAAAAAUUUUUUGAAAUAUUUUUUAUAUUUUAUAAUUUAAAAUAAGUCAGGUCAAGAUGCAGAUUAUAUUUAAGUUAAAAUGUAUUACAAUAAAUUUAUUUUUGGAUUAAAUUUUAAAUAAUUUAUAAAAUUGGAUUUAUAAGUAAAUUAUUUUAUAUAAUAAUUAAUUGAAUAGUGUUAAAAUACAUGCACACAUC
rnacentral:rRNA from 1 species